UGGCAGUGGACGAAACAGACAAAGUCUCUGCCUUCGAGGACCUUACGUUCUCGUGGGAGAAGGCUAACAAAAUAAAAAUUUGAAAUUAAAUUUCAGAAGUGUAAGUGCUAUGAAGAAAACCAAAGUGAGGAAGGGAAAGGAGAGGGGUGACAGUCACUACUUUAGAAAGGGUGGACAGGGAGGAACAUUCAUCCAGGUGGCCGUGAGCAGGGAUUAGACUGACUGCAGGAGUGAGACCUACAAAUACCCAGAGGAAGGGCCUUCCAGGCAGGGAACAGGGAAGGCUGCAGAGAAGGUAGACGCUGUAACCCUGCGAUGUUUUUACAGCCUCAGCAAGAGGAAUCACUACUGUGCCUGUGACAUCGUGUGCAAAGGGAGGGCUGGAGGAGAUAAUCUGAGAAGUGUCAAGAUGCCGGGGCCCAUGUCAGGCAGGCUCUGCGAGUGCCAUGAUCACAGACACAAUAACUGGAGCUCCAGCAGCCAUUUUGCUUGAGGAUGUUAAAGCAGAAAGGGUAGGAGACUUGAACAGACCAGCCCAAGACUGCCUGCUUCCAAAUUUAUUUUACUUUAGACAGAAGCGAACCCCGAUACUGUCACUUGAGGACUCUUCACUAGAGGCCAAAGGGUAGUUGGAGUUUGGACUUCAUGAUCCAUUUGGAACAGUCUAUGGGUCUGUGCUACAAGUGAAGAAAGGAUUUGUGAAGAGGUACACAUGUGCUCUGGCCUUGGGGGAGAAGAGAAGCCACUCAUGAGAUCAGAAGCAAUUUAAAGGACAAAAAAAAGUCAGCUUCCUCUGGGAGAGAAGGACCAGGUGGCUGAUGACAGAGGUAUAUGGUGUUAUAAAACAUGGUGUCUUGGGAUGGUCCUGCAUUGCUUUGGUAAGAGAAAAAUUUGUGAGUCUUGUGUUGGCCAGCCACCAACAUGGGGUUCUUCCCUACUCCCAUCACAUACACUUUAAGGUGUUACUUAAGUUAGAAGGUUGGAUGUUAAGUUAAAAGCUAACCCCCAGCCACGUGGAUUUUCAACAGCAAACUGGUGGGUAAAGUUUACAGGUUGUUGUUUUCUGUCUAUUCGCCUUUCCUUUUUCUUCAGGCCUCUUCCUCUACCUAGAAAUGAGGGCUUGGACUAAGGAAGGGCUCUGUGCUCUGUCAUUUACAUGGUAAAGUGAAUCAAUAUGGCCAGUCGAUAGGUAUGUACAUACAUCCAGUGAGGUACACUAGUGCGUGCUGUGCAACUUGAAGAAACUUUGCAUGGGUACACUCAUGCAAACACCCCCCUAGACUGAGAAGUAAGAACACUUCCAGGACCUUCACAUUGGCAUGAGGAUUUGAACCAUAUUUUUAUAUAAUAAAUGUAUUUGUCCUCUGGAAAAGACA
rnacentral:lncRNA from 1 species